rnacentral:tRNA from 1 species
CAGGGAGACAACAAAAUGUUAAAUAUUAAUUUUGUCACCUUAGGUCGAUCGGUACCUCACAUUCUUAUUUUUUAAGGAUUUUAUUUCCUAAGUUUUUUCUAGGUCACACCCAUUAUUUUUCCUGGGCCAUUAGCUCAGGUGGUUAGAGCGCACCCCUGAUAAGGGUGAGGUCCCUGGUUCAAGUCCAGGAUGGCCCAUAUCUCUAUGUUGGGGGUAUAGCUCAGUUGGUAGAGCGCCUGCUUUGCAAGCAGGAUGUCAGCGGUUCGAGCCCGCUUACCUCCACUGAUUACCACCUCUUCCAUAAUUUGAAGAAAGGAAAUGUUUUGAGUUGUGAUCAAAUUCUGAACGAUUCUAGCUUCCUAAUGAAAUCAUUAAGAUGCUGGACUCAUUGAAUUAAUUUCAUUGAUUUCAGAGAACCUUGACAACUGCAUAGAUUAUUUUUAAAGACAAUAAGCAUCUUUAAUGAUGCAGAUUUAUUAUUUGUGCAAAUGCAUUAAUAACAAUUCUAUUAAGCUGAUGCUUCAAUUUUUGAAGUUAUU